AAUACCCAAUCCUGACACAGGGAGGUAGUGACAAGAAAUAACAAUGCAGGGCUAAUGUCUUGUAAUUGGAAUGAUGGUGACCCAAACCCUCACCAGAGUAGCAAUUGGAGGGCAAGUCUGGUGCCAGCAGCCGCGGUAAUUCCAGCUCCAAUAGCGUAUAUUAAACUUGUUGCAGUUAAAAAGCUCGUAGUUGAAUUUUAGCGUGUUCGAGUUUGCCAUUCGUUUGGCUUUUUCGAGUUCGCUUUUGGGUUUUCCCUUUUUACUUUGAGAAAAUUAGAGUGUUUCAAGCAGACUUUUGUCUUGAAUACUUCAGCAUGGAAUAAUAGAGUAGGACUUUGGUUCUAUUUUGUUGGUUAUUGAACCUUAGUAAUGGUUAAUAGGAACGGUUGGGGGCAUUCGUAUUUAA
rnacentral:rRNA from 1 species